GACGGAGGAUGCAAGUGUUAUCCGGAAUCACUGGGCGUAAAGCGUUUGUAGGUGGUUUAAUAAGUCAACUGUUAAAUCUUGAGGCUCAACCUCAAAAUCGCAGUCGAAACUAUUAGGCUAGAGUAUAGUAGGGGUAAAGGGAAUUUCCGGUGGAGCGGUGAAAUGCGUAGAGAUCGGAAAGAACACCAACGGCGAAAGCACUCUGCUGGGCCGACACUGACACUGAGAGACGAAAGCUAGGGGAGCGAAUGGG
rnacentral:rRNA from 1 species